rnacentral:lncRNA from 1 species
UCGUCUUGCCCCUGAGCAUCGUCUUCCCGCAGCCUACGAUGAUGGCAUGGAAGUGUUGCACUGGCUCAAGACAAGUCAAGACGGGUGGUUACAACAGUACGCUGACUUUUCUUCCUGUUUCUUAACGGGAGAUAGCGCUGGUGGUAACCUAGCUUACCAGGUAGGAUUACGUGCAUCUGCUAUAGUUGAUGAUUUGUUGCCGCUGACAAUCAAGGGCCUGAUUUUGAUCAAACCAUACUUCAGUGGGGUCAAGAGGACGGAAUCAGAGUUAAGAUUGGAGAAAGAUCCUGAUUUUCCGUUGGCUCUUAAUGAUGCGUGUUGGGAGUUGGCACUGCCACUAGGUGCAGACCGUGAUCAUGAGUAUUGCAAUCCGACGGUGGGAGGUGGAUCAAAGCUGAUUGAGAAAAUGAGCUCGCUCGGAUGGAGGGUGAUGGAGUACGUUGGCUUUGCUGACCCAAUGAGUGACCGUCAGAUUGAGUUUCUAAAGCUUUUGGACCAAAAGGGGGUGGCUGUGGUGGGCCAUGUUGAUGGUAGUGGCCACCGUUCUAGAGACUUUGUUGGUCCUGCUCUGUGCCGUUAUUUUAAAGACUUUGUUUUGUCCUCCACGAAGACUGCUUAAUUAGUGAGUGGGGUGGUGGGUGAGUGUAAUUUGGUAUUUGAUGUUUAAUUAUGAUUCUCGCUUUGGAUUUUUAUGAUAAUUGCAACUAAUAAAAGCAUUCCAUCUUUCUUUUUUUUUUAGGGUAUUUACACCGUAGUGUUUGUCCUUUUUUAGAAAUAAAUAAAUAAGCUGGUUAUUGUCAAUCACAAAUUUACACUAAAAAAAUAUUACAGCUGUUGUAACUUUCAACCUCUUCAAGAACAGCUGCAAACUCGAGAAAGGCUAACCAAUGCAGUCUAAUCAUAUAGAUUUCAAGCCUUAGUUGAUCCAUAAUUAUUAUAACGUCCAUAGACUGUAAUAUGAUAAUGAUAAAUAAACAAAAGGGACUAGUAUCAUAGUAUGUGUGAGAUGUUAGAGCAAGGUGUUUGAUGCAAUUGCAAGGAUGUUUGAUGAGAAGCCUGAAUGAAGACAGUGCGUCAGGAUUGACGAGUGAGCUGGAGCUGCAGUGGCAUUGACUUGGACAUAACAAGAUGACAUUAUAUAUAUAUAUAUAUAUAUAUAUAUAUAUAUAUAUGGACGGGUGACUCAGCUUACACUAACAACUAAGUUGACUUAAAGCGAAUGAUUAGGUGAUAAGGUAUGGUACAAGUAAUAUGAACCAUUAGAUUGAAUCAUCUGUGGCCAUUAGAUGAGGAUUGCAGCUGUGAAUAGUUCAAAUGCGACAUUGCAGGGUAAAGCACAUUUAUUGUAUUAGCCCCAUAAAAGUAUUAUAAGCUUAGUUUCAAUUUUUUUUAAUUAUUUCACAUCUUUUGUAAUCUCUAAUAUAAUAGAUCAAUUAGUAUAAAUGUGAUUGUAAAUAUAAGUUGUAAUAUCUAAUGUAAUAUCACAAAUAAUCUUAUAUAUCAGUGUUAAAAAAAAAAUAGAGAGAACCGAUCACAUGGGCCACGUCACCCCUAUGAUCCAAAACCCUUUAAUUGUCUAUUAAAAUUUAAGGACUAAAAGAAAUAGACAGUUGCAACUUUCAUUAAAUGUCGACAAACUUAUCUUCAGCAUAAUUGAAUCUAAACUUCUCCUACAUUAUGUAACAAUUUUGUGUUUUUUUGGGGGGGGGGGGGGGGGGGGGGGGGGGGGGGGGGGGGGAGGGGGAGGUGCUAAUUAUUAAUCUCAUCUUGUAAUUAAAAAAGUCAAUAAUGUAUUGGCUCAAUUUCCAUUUUAACCAAGUAUAACCCAAGUUGAUUGAUUUGUUGUGAAACACUUAUCAUUUGUUGAGGUUAGUUUUGUCGAAAUUUGAUGCCGUAAAUAUUUGAUAUUUCGCAGGUUUAGAAUGGCUAUAAAUUGGAACGUCAUUUGAUGAGCAAGAUGCAAUAAGAUUUGGCACCGCCGAAAGAAAUUGACCCCUGGGGGUUUUGCUUGCGGGGAUUAAAAAUAAUUUAGCUCAAUACAAUAUAAAUACAAUACAUUUUGACAACCACAUGUGCCUUCAAAAAAUAAAAUAAAAUAAAAUAAAUAAAACGGGGAACCAUUGAAAUUACAAAAAUAAUAGCUAAAACAGUUUUAAACUUUUAAGCUUUAAGCUUCUCUCUCCAGAAGUUUAUCACAUAACCUCAGUUAUAUGUCAAACGAAAUCGCCCGCUCUCAUUCAACCAUUGAUCCCUACAAACACCUUCAGAUAGUUGUCAAUCCUGACGGCACAAUCACACGCAGCCUCAUUUCUCCAAGCACCGAGGCCACACCGGAUCCAGUCAACGAUGAUGCUGUAGUCCUCUCAAAAGAUGUCACCGUCAACCAAUCAAAAAACACCUGGGUCCGAAUAUUCGUGCGCCGUCAAGCACUUGAUUCUCCCUCUUCCACCAAGCUUCCUCUCAUAGUCGAUUUCCAUGGUGGGGGCUUCAUUUUCUUCAGUGCAGCCUCAAGCUUAUCCCAUGAGUUCUGCUCCAAUGUUGCAGUUGAACUCCCUGCGAUUGUUGUAUCAGUCGACUACAGACUUGUUGAAAAAAUAGCAUGUAUAUAUGCUAUUUUGAGAGCACAUUUUGAGUGGGUCUCACUUAACGAAAGUAAAAAAUCUUGUGAGGUUCGAAUUCUACUCUGCUGAUACUUCAAAAGUAUAAUCUUAUUUUCUCAAAAUGGUGCUUGGGUAAAUGAGAAAUUGUCUCUCAAAGUUCACCAUUGAAGUUGGAAAUUUGAAAGGAAAUGAGACUUAUCCUACAUGGGAAAAAGAAGCCUAGGGAUUAGUGUUUAUAUAUAAACAUUUAACUAUGCAUGAGUAAGAAUUUUAAGGAUAGAGGCUCUCUCCACACGCGCGUGCGCAGGGGGGUGUAAAUCCAAGACCGAUUUGGUUGAACUUGUACGCGAAUGUCAGCCUAAAAUCAUCCAUGCAAGCUUGGCACGUUUUUAAUUUCCUUUUCAAUUUUUGUUGUAACAGUUUCACGUUUUGAAUUCAAACAGCUUCAUAACAAUAAUUUUUUAGCUGUUAUACACGUUUAUGAAGUCAAUUUUAAAAUCAAUUCAUUGAAUUGAUUUGGCUGUUAUAACAAUUGUUGAUGCCGAAAUCCAGAUGAGUUGGUCAGAUCUCAGAUCCCUGCAUCAUCAUUAAAUUUGUUUGGUGGGAAGCUGAUGAUUAGUUAGCACCAUGAGCAGAUUUUCUAUGAGCAGAUGUUCUGUGAGCAGACAACCCAUGAGCAGACAAUCCAUGAGCAGACGAUCCAUGAGCAGAAAACUCAUGAGCAGACAAUCUAUGAGCAGAUAACCCGUGAGCAGACGAUCCAUGAGCAGACGUUCCAUGAGCAGAUAAUCCAUGAGCAGAGAACUCAUGAGCAGAUAACCCGUGAGCAGACGAUCCAUGAGCAGAUAACCCAUGAGCAGACGAUCCAUGAGCAGAUAACCCAUGAGCAGACAAUCCAUGAGCAGACAAUCGAUGAGCAGAUAACUCGUGAGCAGACGAUCCAUGAGCAGAUAACCCAUGGGCAGACGAUCCAUGAGCAGAUAACCCAUGAGCAGACGAUCCAUGAGCAGAUAACCCAUGAGCAGACAAUCCAUGAGCAGACAAUCUAUGAGCAGAUCACCCAUGAGCAGACGAUCCAUGAGCAUAUAACCCAUGCGUAUACGAUCCAUGAAUAGAUAACCCAUGAGCAGACAAUCCAUGAGCAGACAACCCAUGAGCAGACGAUUCAUGAACAGAUAACCUGUGAGCCUGUGAACACAACCAACAAUCAGGAGGUGCCGGAAGUUUUACCGGCGAGAACCCUCCGACGCUCAAGUCAGCGAUUCGGGUCUUACUUGAAAAAACCCAUACCACAAUUCAUGUGGCUUAAUUAUGAUUGCUUUAAACAAAAAGCUUUUAAGUAAAUUUAAAGGAGAAGAAUUCAAAAUAAUCAAUCUUAAAGAAAUCACAGGCGAAAGAGAAAUUUCUCUGUGGUAGACAGAGAAAAAGGUCCAAUGGGUUCAGUUGCUUAAAGAGAGAGAGAGAGAAAGAGAGAGCUAGAAGAAUCCCUCAUUUUCUUUUCCUUUCGGAGGAUUUUUAUAGGAAACUAUAGCGGUUUUUAUCCUCUCCCCUAGAAUUCUCAAGAAAACUACUAAUUUUCCGCCCACUAAGAACAUGGUCCCUAAUAUUUCGGAGAAAAUGUUUUGACUGAAUCAUGCUUCCUGGUAACUUCCUGGUCGAGGUGACCAAUAAUAUCCUGGUCGAGGUGAUGUGCUCGAGGUUACCACAUAUUAUUCUGGUCGAGGUGACCCAUAACAUCCUGGUCGAGGUGAUGUGCUCAAGGUCAUCACAUAUUAUUUUGGUCGAGGUGACUAAUAAUAUCCUGGUCGAGGUGAUGUGCUCGAGGUCACCACAUAUUAUUCUGGUCGAGGUGACCAAUAACAUCUUGGUCGAGGUGAUGUGCUCGAGGUCACCACAUAUUAUUCUGGUCGAGGUGACCCAUAACAUCCUGGUCGAGGUGAUGUGUUCGAGGUCAUCACAUAUUAUUCUGGUCGAGGUGACCAAUAAUAUCAUGGUCGAGGUGAUGUGCUCGAGGUCACCACAUAUUAUUCUGGUCGAGGUGACCAAUAACAUCCUGGUCGAGGUGUUCUGCUCAACCAUUUGCUCACUUUUACUUUGAGGGGAGCACGAUAAUGUAUGAGCAAACACCUUUAUCUUGGUCACCGUAUUUCAUUCCCUAAACAACAAUUAAAUAAAACAUAUUGAAUUCGAAAAUUCAAUACAAAGCAGCUGUUACAUCCUCACAUGACUAUAAAAAGGCAGCUCCUCUUCUGUUUUUUGGACACUCGAAAAACCAGUACAAAGCUCACUUGUUUUUCCUUCCUCCUUCUUUGUCGUCUGUUUUCUCUUAUCGAGUUCACUGUUGUGGUUCGCCGGAAUUUCCAUCUUGUGCUUAGCCGGGAAUUCGUGCCCGUUGUAUCCUGGGAAACAGAUACCAGCAGACCUAAAGCACGCCAAGAGGUGGUAAAUCUGUUUUAAGGAAACUGUCUUGUGCAGCCCUCGGGUUUAUAUUUCUGUUUCGGUUUCAUUCCUCUUCUGUUCUUCAUUUGUUGUUUCCGAUUGGUGGUUUACAUUGUUGUUUAAAUUAGUUAUUGUUUAAAUUGUUAUCUCACUGUGUUUGUUUUUCUAACAAGACUUGCCCUAGAGCAUCGGCUGCCGGCAGCCUACGAUAAUGCAAUGGACGCCUUGCACUGGAUCAAGAACACACAAGAUGAUUGGUUAAUGAAACAUGCUAAUUUUGACAAUUGCUUCUUAAUGGGCAGCAGUGCUGGUGGCAACAUUGCUUAUCAUGCAGGACUACGUGCGACUGCACAAGUUAAUAAUCUGUUGCCAUUGAAGAUCAAAGGGUUGUUACUUCUCUUCCCGUUCUUUGGUGCGAUCAAAAGAACCGCGUCAGAGUUGAGGUUAGUGAAUGAUCGGGUUUCGCCUCCGUGUGUUAGUGAUUUGAUGUGGGAGUUAGCGUUACCAAUCGGGGCUGACCGUGAUCAUGAGUAUUGCAAUCCAAAGGUGGAAGGUGGGUCAAAGUUAGUAGACCAAAUCAGGUUGCUAGGAUGGAAGGUGAUGGUGAUCGGAUGUGAUAGGGAUCCAUUGAUCGAUCGCCAGAUUGAGCUCGUCAGGAUGAUGGAGCACAAAGAGAUGCAAGUGGUGACUCAUUUUCAAGAAGGUGGCUACCAUGGCAUAGAGAUUAUUGAUCCUGUCAAGCGUAAGGUCCUGCUAGUUGACAUAAAAAAAUUUGUCUUGUCGUUAGAAAAGGCAGCAUAGUGAGUACUCGUAUGGUGUUUGCCGUGCCGUAUAUCAUUAUUAGUUUUUAAUAUAUUUUUGUGCUGUUUGUUGGGUAGAUUGCAGCGUGCUGUUCAUUUGCUUCUUCUUUGUUUUAUAAUAUUUUGUUUAUUUUCAAUAUCCUAUGUAAUUUAUUAAAAAGAAUGUGGGCCUCAGAAUGAACCGGUUUUGGAGUAAUUUUAUUUAACGUGUUACUCGAGUUUGAAUUUUAAGUAGAUUGGAAAUAAAAAAAUUGAUUGAGUUGAAUUGUUGGCACCCUCCUAAAAUUUUUUAAAACAGCUUUGAGUAUUUUAUAAUUUUAGACUUAAUUUAUAUUACAUAAAAGAAUACAAACAUAUUUAAUUAAACCCGCACAUAUUGGCAGAGGUGGGCACCGGUUUGGUUUCUUUUGGUUUGGUUUGAUUUCUGAAAUUUCAAUUCGGUUCGAAUUAGGAAUUUUAAAAAACUGGUUUGAGUACUUCUAUUUGAUUCUGUUUUGGUAUUAAUCAAUUCGUUUUUUUUUUUAACACCUUAUAAAACACCAAAUUGAAAUUGAAAAAAUGGAACUGAAUCGAAUUUUUCUGGUAUGGUCCAACUAAUUCCUAAAUGUCAUGUGGCAUACUCUAAUUUAAUUUGGUUCUGCCCACCCUUACAUAUUAGACACAAUUAAUUUUCUUGACCAACUAUUUUUCUAUUAUAUGCAUUUUCUUCAAUCAUCAAAGAAGUUACCAAAAACUAACUAAAACUCCAAUAUAUAUAUAUAUAUAUAUAUAUAUAUAUAUAUAUAUAUAUAUAUAUAUAUAUAUAAUUUUUUAAGGAUUAAUCUAUAUUGAAUCUUCUUUGAGAUUUCAUAAAAAAGCCUAUUGGGAGGUCUAAAUAAAACGGAAUAAUAUUCUCAUGGAUUGUGUCAAAAACAAGCCUACGAGGGUAAAUGGGCCAACACAACACCGUCCAAACCUACGUUAGCCGUGCCGUGCCGUGCCUGGUCAUGCUAGCCCAACUCCUCUUUUUUUUCAAUAAAAAAAUAGAAUCACAUUAUCAAAUGCCUUUAUUUCAUGUUCUAAACCACUAAGCUAAAACUUUUGUUGGUGAUCUAUUAUAAACAUAUAUUUAAAUAGUUAAAAUUUGAACAUGUAAAUUUUAUAAAAAAAUUAAAUUAGACAAAUUACAAUAUUUUAACUAAUUAUUUUUAAAAACAUUAUUUCAAUAAAUUGAAAUAUAUUUAAAAAAUUUAUUAUAUUUCCACUAAAUGAUAAUUCUAAUUCAAUUUAAAUUUGAAUAAUAUCUUAAAAUAAUAUAAUAUUAAUUUUAUUAAAAAAUCAAUUAAACAUAAAUAGAAAAAAAUUUGUAAAUUUAAUUUUGUUGGUUUCAAAUUCAUUUAUUUCAAUGAUAUAUUGUAGUAUUAAUUAAAAUUAUAAACAAAAUUUGAAGUGAGCUUUUUCACGUGCUGACUUGUAGCCUAUCUUUAAUCGUGCCAUGUUUGUGCGAUCCAAGUGCCUAGACAUCUAAGCCCAAUUCUGCCCACGUUCAUGUUGUGCUAUGCCAGGUGCCAUGUCCAGCAUGCUUGUACUGUUUUGUGUUGUAUGGACGCAUGUCGUGCCUAUAUUGUACCACUUAGCUUGUUGGACAUCCCUAGUUGUAACUAGCAAAACCCAAUUCUAAAAAUUCCCAAAACCUCUAAUAACGCUACUCAAAAUCAAAACAGGGACUCAGCAAAUAAAAAUUAAAUUAAUAAGUACAUUAAAUUUAAAUCCAAAUAGAUACUACACAUAGAGAAAAGAAUUGUUUAUUUUCCUCCCAUAUUUUUGGGCGUGCAACAAAGCGCCAUUAUACAGAGGAUUGAUUUAUACCUAGGAGCUGAAAUUUAGAAUAAUAAUGAUAAUGAAGUUGUCUUAAAAAUGAUGGAGUGAGUGAAAGGAAUAUCAUUCGCAUGAGACGUGAAAAUUAUAGAAGAGAGAGAGGAAAAAAAAAAGGAAUUUGAGCAAGAGUUUAAAAUUAAAAAAAAAAAUCUGAUAUGGGGUUUGAAGAAUAAUGAAAAAAUGAAGAUUGGGGUUCAAAAGGAGGAGUUUCAAGUAAAAUGUUAUUUUUGUCUUUAAGAAUUGUGCUAUGAGCAUUAAGAAAUGGUGAGGCUAUUAGAACUCACUAAAUUUCUCUUUAAGAAUGGUGAUAAAAAUUAAAAGGAGAUUGGGGUUCAAAAUGAGGAGUUUUAAGUAAAAUGCUAUUUUUGUCAUUAAGAAUGGUGUUAUAAGAAUUAAAAAAGGGUGAGACUAUUAGAACUCACUAAAUUCCUCUUCAUACAUUGUAUGUAUGUAUAUAUGUAUGUAUGUAUGUGUAAUUAAAAAUUUUAAAAUCUCAAAAUUACUCUUUGCUCAUUUUCUCUCUCUACUUUCAUAUUAUAUGUUCUCUCUUUAUUAUCACAUUAUGUAUUUUGAAAUCUCAGUUUCAUUCUUUUAUCCAUUGAUUCUUUUCUUUUCUUAAUAAAUCAAACUUUAUUUCUUUCUUCAUAUUACUGUUCUUUUUCUUUUUAUUCAUCUUAAAUUUUGUUGUUUCAAGGAUAAAUUUGAAACCCAAUGAAACUUUUAUGGUUUCCAUGGCUAGUAAAAAUUGAUUAAUAUUCUUUCUUUUAUGGUAGAUUUUUUAUUAGUUGGUUAAAAACAAUGUCAAUGUUUAUUUGAAAUUGAAAGAUAAAAGUUUAAAUUAUCUACAUUCAAAUUAAGGAACUGGGAGAAAAAGAGAAGUAGGGUUGAUUGAGUAAUUUUAUUAAAAAUUAUUUUGAAAACAAAAACUUAAUUUGAAUUCAGGGUUCAAAGGGAAAAUUGGUUAACUCAAAUAACUUCACCCUAUAGAAAUUUGUAUUAUAUUUAAAUAUUUUAAUAGGGUAGAAAAAGAAUAGGGGUUCCAAAGGUUAUUGGACAGUGCCAAUAGUCCAACUUAAAUUAAAUUGGACAAUUUUUACAUAACUUAUUUUUAAAAUAGUAUAAUUCAAAAUUGUCCAAACAAAAAAAAAGUCUCCACUCUUCAAUAACUAUCGUUCGAAUCCACUUUGAUUAAUUAUAGAGUACUGAUAUUUGACCCCUCAAUUUAUUUUAUUAGCUCUUAUUUUUCUCAUUUUAACUUAAAAUGACUAAAAUAGUAACUUAAACGUUUAAAAUUUACCGUUCUUUUCUCUCUCCUCUCCCUCGUUUAGUCGUUUACAAACUUUCUAUGGUUAAAAAGGUAAUUUUCAGUAUCAUCCCCUGAUGUUUGGGGUCCCUUCACUUAGAUAGAAUGUAUAAGCGUAUCUCUACUUUGCACCCCUACCGUUAGUAUAAAGUUUAGUAUAUAUUUAGUAUGUGAGGGCAUUUAAGUAAUUAUUUGCUAACUUAUUAAAUAGUAAAAACAUUUUGAAUUUUUACACUUUGGAAACAAGAACAUGUCAGAAACAUUGUUAUGUCUACUGGUAUUAAUAGAAGCAUGUUAGUAUUCAAUGGAUUUUACACCAAAUUAAAAACAAUUAAUGUCCGCUGGGUAAUAAUAGAAACAUGUUAGUGUUCAAUGGGUUUUUAUACCAAAUAAAAAAGGAAAAUUAUCAUUUGUAUACCCUUAGUUUACUCCAUUAUCAAAAAUACUACAACACUUUGAGGGUGUAUCAAUCGUCCACCUUAAGUUGACAAAAUGUAUCAGCUGACCACCAAACCGUUAGUUGCCGUUUAAGUAUGAUGACGUCAGAAGGGUAAUUUGGUCUUUUCAUAUGAUACAAGUGAUAAUUUAAGGGUAUACAAGUGAUAAAAAGAGAAUUUAAGGGUAUACAAGCGAUAAUUUUUAAGGGUAAAAUCGUCAAUUCACUGUAAUUCCAUUAACUUUCAAACGGCAACUAACGGUUUGGUGGUCGGCUGAUACAUUUUGUCAACUAAGGGUAGACGAUUGAUACACCCUCAAAGUGUUGUAGUAUUUUUGAUAACAGAGCAAAUAUAGGGUAUACGAAUGAUAAUUUCCCAAUAAAAAAUAAUGAUUUGUUUAAUUUUUCUUUACAAAUCGAAAAAACAAAUUCAUAUCAGCAUUAACGGAUUAAGUGAAUUCGUUGCUGUGACGAAUAAGAUGUCGAGGAAGCAAUCGAAAUCAAGUUUGACGGGAACCGUUGUAAGAGUUCAAAUUGAUUCAACGGCUUUGAGCGAAUACUGGCAACGACCAAGAACCCACCCACCUACCGAUGGAGCCACAUGCCAGGUAACUGAAACUUCCCUUUUUUGUUAUACUUUUUUUUUUCCUUUUUUCAGUGUUGGGAUGAGCUAAAAGUGAAGUUGAGGUUGAACAAUAAUGCUAAUGUGGGUCUACAGAGUUGGUGCAUGUGUUUUUUUUUUUUUCCUUCAAAUCAUGAAAACCCAUGAUAAAAAUUGUUGUUUUAGUUGGUUAUUCUUCGCUGGAUACUGAUUUUAGAGGCUAACUGCUACUAAAAUUAAGAACUUGGCAUGACUAAUUUUAGUUGGGUUAUAUGUUUUGGUCUCUAAAUUGUGAAUAUUCAUUGCAUAAACCGUUGUUAGGUUGGUUAACAUCUCAUUGAAGACGGAUAUUUCGGGCAAGAUUUAGAGCAAUAAUAUGACAAAUGCAUGUAUUUAUUUCUUUUUGGGUGGUAAUACAACAAAUGAUAAGUGUAUUUCUCAUGAGUUUUAUUGAGAUCUUAAUAUAAUUUGGCACCAAAUUUGUGAAUGAUCUAAUACCUAGUACAUAUCUAGAUAUUGUUUUACUGACGCAAGGGUAUUUAGUCAUUGAUUUAGUCAAUUAUCAGUCAACUAAACUUUAUACUAACGGUAAGAGUGUAAAGUGAAGAUACCCUUAUACAUUCUAUCUAAGUGAAGGGACCCAAAACCUCAGGAGAUGAAAUUGAAAAUUACCCAUGAUUAAAAAUUUGAUGCAAGCUCUGCAUUUUUUAUCUUAUGACAUUUAUUCGAUUCUCAAGAAUGAUUCUGCAAUUCCAAAACGCUAUAAUUGUGCGUCUAAAUUUUUUAUCCUAUUUGUGCGUGGUCAGGCUUAAGCUUGAGCUCAUAAUCGAUUAUAGCUAUUGAUUGGGUGGAUUGCAAACUCAUGGCUUAAUUUGAUCCUUAAGUGACUCAAUAUCAAUUUUUUUUUAUUCCUCAUAUUGAAAACUUUGAAACGAAUUUUACUCUCCUCUGAUUCUAUCUCGCAAUAAGAAAACAAAAGUAUGGUGCCACUAUUGGCAACAAAUUGUUAAAUAAAGGCUGUUAAAUAAAACAAUUUAAUGGAUAGAGUAACCUUGGAAAUAAAUUUAGUUAAUUAAGAAGUGGGGGCUAAUGAGAUAAACUAUGGGGAUUAAAUAUACCACUCUUAAUUUUAUUUGACAAGAUUCAAAUUACUUGGUGCUUGUACCCAGCCAAAUGUCACCGUGUUGCAGUUUAAAUACCAGUGGUGAAAUUAGGCCCCUCAAUUUUUCUUAUCAGCCCCCACUAUUUAAUUAAACACACUUAUUUUCAAAAUUAUACUUAUUAAAAUAUAAAAAUAAUUAAUAAAAAUAAUUCCAAAAACUCUAGCCACUUCCUCCAUCAUUGUUACCACCUUAACUCACCAUUCUUUAUUAUUUAUUCCAAUUUUAGCCACUUUAUUCUUAACCAAUUUUAAUUAUUUAUCGUUUAUUUCAAUGUAUUUAUAAUUUCUUGAUUAUAUACAGAAAUUAUUUUUUGCCUUUUUUCAUUUGAUAUUAUUUUGAUUAUGAUACUAUCAUAUCAAUCUCAUUAAAAUCAAUUCAAAUAAUGAGGGAUUUCAGCCAGCAGCUAUUAGGGAACUUGUUAGUAGGGUCAAUCAAUGACUAAGGGCUAGUGGUGCCAUAGCUUAAUGUGAUGAAAGUAUGGUGGAAGAUGGCUAGGAUUUCUGGAAUUGUAUUUAUAUUUUAAUUAUCUUUUUAUUGUUUAACAAAGGUAAUUGUGUGAAAAUAAGUGAGAUUAAUUAAAAAGUGGAGAUGAUGAGAGAAAUUAACGAAGUCAAAUAUUAGUAAUUUUUAAAUAUAUAGUGGAGCUAUUAGGCCCUAUUUUCUAUCUCAUCAAACCAUAAUUUUAAACACAUAUCGUUAAACUUGGGAUUUUUGGUUCAAGUUCCAGCAGACCGCUUUCUUCUUCUAAGUAUACAUUAAUAUAUAUCUGGAUGGGAUAUAUCAUCUCAUCCACUAAUUUAUAAGUAGUGCCAACUUUUUCCCCCACUAGUUUGUGAGUGGAGCUGUUAUUCUUUCAAAUUUCUAAGGAUUUUGUGAGCAAUUUUAUAAGGGUUAAUUGCGGGUUGUAUAGCAAUUUGUAAAGUUAGAAUUUGAGUUUUAUAUAUCAGUUAUAUAUAUAUAUAUGCCCUUCCUCAAUUAGAGAUGGCCAAAUAAGCCGAGCAGCUCAAGGUACAACAUAGGCACGACACGAGUACAUUUUAAUAGGGCACAUGACAACACACAAUAUGCAUGUGGGCUGAGCAAGGAUUUGAUGUUUAGGUACACGGGCUGCAAAAGUACGACAUGAUUAAAGAUAGACCAAAGUAUGGUACAUGAAAAAACAUUAAAAAAAACAUAAUUCAAAUUUUAUGUCUUACUUUUAAUUAGAUUAUUGUACUAUAUAUUAUUUAAAUAAAUGAAUCUGAAAUUAAAACUAUUAAAUUCAAGAAUGUUUCGUUCUGUUUCUAUUUAAUUGAAUUUUUAAUAUAAAAUUAAUAUUAUAUUGCUAUAAGAUAUUAAUCAAAUUUUAAUUGAAUUGUAAUUAUUAUUUAAUGCAGCAUUGCUUGUUAAGUUUUCGUAUUAUUAUUGGUGUUAUGUUAUGCAAAUGUAAACAAUUUUUUUCUUUAUAUACUUCAAUUAAAUAAAAUAAUGUAUUUCUCAAAAAGUUAGUUAAAAAUAUUGUAACUUGUGUAAUUUUAUUUUUAAUAUAAUAAUAUUUUAUAAAAUUCAGAUGUUUGUAUUUUAAUAUUUAAAUAUAUGUUUAUAGCAUAUCACCAACAAAAGUCAUAUGUUCUCAAAUCUUACUUCCGAUGGGCAUGCCCAAAAAAAAAAAAAAAGAAUCAGGCUAGCACGGCUCAGGCCUAGGCACGACACGUGCCUUAUGUGGACUUGUGCCAUGGACCGUAUAGGGCGGACCUCCAAACAAUUAGGUACAACAUAGCAUGGCUCACCAACUCAAUUAUCCAGGCUGUUCCAACCCACGCGCCUCAUGGACUUGGUUUUGACGGGCAGGCACCGACAGUUAACCGUCACACUCCUUCAAAUAUAAAGUGUAAAACAGCCACACUCACCGCAAUCCUAUGUUGAAAAAGACCUUAAACAUUAGACUGGCGCUACGUUACGUUUAAUGUAACGUACUCCACACACAGUAACAGUUGUAGGCUCCACCAUAAAAACUGUUGCUGUGUGUGGAACGUACGUUACGUUAAACGUAACGGGACCCUAAACAUUACCCCUCAUUCACCCCACAGUCUCAAUUUUUUUGUGUAAUUUUCAUAAGGCCCCAAAUAAAAGGCUACAAAAGAGGAAGCUUGGCAGCCAGAGAAAGGGAAACGAUGGCAAAAGAAACACAAAUCAAAAGAGAGUCAUAAACGAAGAAGACAGCAUACGCACAAUUCAUAGUUGUCUCCCCGCACCGGAAUGAUUUUUAUCCGGAAUCCGGAUAAGUUUUUGAAAACCCGCAUGUUUCCGGGUCCGGAUCCGAUUUCAGGUGAACCCACAAAUCCGGAACCCGGACCCGGAUAUUAUUUAUUUUAAUAUUAAUUUUUAUCCAAAAAUUCGUAAAUAUAAAUAGAAAGAAAAAACAAAAAAACAAAAGUGAACCCUAGAUCUCUCAAUCUCUCUCGUUCCUCUCUCGAAAUCUCGAAUUCUCGAUCUCUCACUCUCUUCAACUGAACUCUACUGUAAUUUCUCCUCUCAAUCUCUCAAGUCUCAUCCGUUCCUCUCUCAAUCUCUCUCACCCGUGACCUGAUCCUCAGUCCUCACUUAAUCUCUCUCACUCUCUCUUCAACUCUCCUGUAAUCUCUUCUUCAGAUCAGAUCAGAUCCUUCGCGGCGCGGCCUGUCAUCACCUUCACGGUGCGGCUGUGUUCGUUUCAUAAGUCAUCAACAUCACUCGUCUCAUCUCUCACUCUGUCGCGGCCAGCAAAAGGGGUUGAAAUUCACAACUGGGAUCAUCAUCUUCUUCUUCAUCAUAUGGCGGCUGUGUUCCACAAUCAGUUUUUGGCGUUGCAUGUUCUUUUAUCUAAAGUUUCAGCAUCAUUUAGAACACGGUGUUAAUAGUUGUGUGCGGAGACUACAGACGAGAGCAUUAAGCAUAUGCAGAAUAGAGACAGCUGGAAUUGAUUACUAGACAUGAUCGGCAAUUUUGACAGCUGGUGGCAGUGGUCUAAAUUGUUUAGGGGAUGAAAUAUUAAAUUUUUGCUUGGGUUUGUUAGGGCUGAACAAUUGAGAAGAUUCAACGUUUGUAAGUGCCGUCUUACAUAACAUGAAUUUUGGUUUGGUCUUGGAUAGUAUAAAAACAAUACAUAUUUUUUUGGAUUUAUAAUUUAUUGUUGAAUUGGAAAUGAAUUGAUGAUGUAGUUGAUCAAGAUUUAAGAGUAAAAAAAGAAAAAUUAAUGGAACUAGUCCAAAAGAGUCCGAAAGAUCUUUACAUAAUCGACGGCACUUGGGAAAACAGCUAUAUAACAAGUUUUUACCAGAAAGCCAGCUCUGUUCUUUUAGAAAAGCUUGAUGUUUAUUUUCUUAAUUAUUAUUUCUUGAGUAAAUUUUUUUCCUUCUACGGUUCUGCCAACUUUUUGGAAGCAAAAAAUAUGGAGGCUAAUAUUAAAAUAAAAUCAACAUUACUCAAAUGAUAAAGAAUAGAUAUUAAAAUAAAAUAAAAUAAACAUUACUCAAUCAUCAUCUUGGCACUAACCAUGUUCGUUGUUUUGAACACCUUGCAUUGUUGGCCAGAGGAAUAGAAGAUAAAAAUAAAGCAAUCCGGGUUCAAAACCCGAAAUCUGGAAAUCUGGAUUUUUUCGGGUUGAACCCGGACCAGACCCGGAUUAAAAAAACGGGGUUCAAUGCGGGUCUAGUUAUGAGAAUUUUGUGUCCGGAUCCGGAUCCGGAACAGCCAAACCCGGACCCGGACCCGGACCCGGACCCGAAAAUUGCCAUCCCUAUUGGGGACGCACUUGUAGACCGUCAGAUUGAGCUGUUAAAGUUGUUGGAGCAAAAGGGUAUGAAAGUGGUGGGUCAUUUUGAUGAUAGUGGCCACCGUAUGCAAGAUUUGUUGGAUUCUGCCAAGCGCAUGGCUCUGCAUGGUUAUGUGAAGGAUUUCGUAUUGUCCUCAACAAUUGCUGCUUAGUCAGUGCGCGUGUGUGCUGUCGUGGGGGCGGCUGCUUUUGCCUUUUGGCGUGUUGCAAUAUAAUGAAAGCGUCCAUCUUAACUAUCAGCAUUAAAAAAAUGCAGUGGCGUAGUGCAAUGUAAUUGAUCUUUUCUACUAAAAAAAAAAAAAGUAAUCGGUCUUGUUACGUUGACUGAUAAUGACAUAUAUAUCAAGCAUUUGUUUAAGCUUUAGUAUGCCAAUGCUAGUGUUAUGUUACAAAAUCUUAUAUUGUAUUUGUGGAAAUCCAAUAUUAUUAAUAAACUCAUUUGUUGUAAAACCUCAAACAUUGUAAAUCAAGACAGCAAUCAAUCUUUGUUUGAAUUGGUUGGCAAAGAUUGAGACAAUCACUCAUAGUGAAUUUUUGUGUUUGUCUUUAUUUAAUUCUUCUCUAUUAAGAGGCCAAUAAGAGUACCAUAAAAACGAGGGGAUAAUUGGUAAAAUUUGAUUUCUGUAGGAGGAAUAUGACCUUUCUAUUUAUUUUACAAUUUUUCUUGCACAAUUACAUAAUUUUGUAGAUUGAAAGAAAACUUACGAAACUAAGUUGAAAUAAUUAGUAUGCGAUUUCUACUAUUAAUGUUACAUAUCUCGCAUCAUAAAAAAAAAAAAGCUAAACAAGUUAAAAAAAAUCAUGCUAAAAAUCAAUAGACGAGGAACACCAUAAAAGAGCUUAUCUGAGGAUUGGACUAUGUAUCCAGGUAUCGCAUUGAUUUCUAUUAGGAUAAAAUAGGUGCUCGAUAAACUAAACAAGGUAUUUGAUGAAAUUCUUGUGCGCUACAACCCCGGCAUCAAUCAAUAGUCCAGUACGAAAUGAGGUGAAAAAUUGAAUUAGCAGCUCUUUGGUGACAACACAAGGUUAACACAGUAUUCUCAGUGAGGGUUUUCUAAAUCUAGAUGGCUCACGGAUCAGCAUUAGCAAAUGUAGACGACAAACAUGCAUGGUUGUUUUUGGGUUUUGUUAACUGUUAAAGUUACAUUUAUUGUAACUUAAAAUCAAGCUUUUUAAAUAUAAAAACGAGUAAUAGAUAUUAGGGUCAGGUGAGCCAAUAAAUAAGUUUUGUUUGAUUAUAAAUUAUAUUAAAUAUAACAGAAGACGACAUCAAAAGUCAAUGAGCUCGUAGUUCGUUGGCAUGUCUCCUUGAACUCUUAGUGAGGGUCGAUCUUUGAGAUGUGUUAUAAUAAAAUUAUUUAAGAAGAAUAUUGAUGAUCGUAAAAUAUUAGUAGAGUUAUGAUUAUAAUAAAUUAGUAUAUGUAUAUAUAAAAAAAAUACUUAAGAUGACCCUUAUCUUUAAUAACAAAGGGCAUUUAUCUAUGACCAUUGGAUCAAGUCAGCAACUCUUUGUUGACACGUUAUGCUGAGUCAGGGAUUCUCUAGAUGGCUCAUGGACAAGCAUUGGCAAAUGUACAAAGUCAAAAUAUCUAUCAUCCGCGACCACAGGAUUGCAACGUGUAUAGCCGUUAGAUUAAUUUACAGCCGUGUAUUGGACAAAUCAUUCUUGGUAUGCUCCCGCACAUAUCAGACAACCAGUGGAUCAUGAAAAGUUGAAAACUUACUCUGGGAAAAAAUACUGUUCAUUACAUUUUUCUCUCUCUUUUUUUUUUUAACUUAUUAUUAAGUUCUUUGCACGUUUAUCAUUUGAAUUAUUUCUGGACCUAAAUAUCGGAUAAACGACUAGUCUGAAGUGCAGGCUAUUUUGACUUUUCAGUCACACACUCACACCUAUUGUUGCGCGUUCGCAUCCCAUUGUAGCAAAGCCUACAGUUGGUUGCACCAUCAUAUCAUCCAAAUUCAAAGCAAUUUGCCCAACAAUGGAAAACUUCCCGGUGAGGAUCAACGCCGAUGGCACCAUCACUCGGGAACCCGAUCUUUUGCCAAGAACACCAGCCAAACCCGAUCCAAAUGACAACACAAUAGCCCUCUCAAAAGAUUUCACCGUCAACGAAUCAAAAAACAUCUGGGUACGUAUAUUCCUACCCCGUCAAGCACUUAAUAAUAAUAAUAAUACUUUUUCCUCAUCAUCCGCCAAGCUCCCUCUCAUUAUUCACUUCCACGGCGGAGGCUUCGUUGUUAGAAGCGCAGCUACAUCCACGAACCAUGAGUACUGCCAAUUGAUCGCGGCCCAAAUCCCUGCUGUGGUCGUGACAGCAGAGUAUCGUCUUGCCCCUGAGCAUCGUCUUCCUGCAGCCUACGAUGAUGGCAUGGAAGUGUUGCACUGGCUCAAGACAAGUCAAGACGAGUGGUUACAACAGUACGCUGACUUUUCUUCCUGUUUCUUAACGGGAGAUAGCGCUGGUGGUAACCUUGCUUACCAGGUAGGAUUACGUGCAUCUGCUAUAGUUGAUGAUUUGUUGCCGCUGACAAUCAAGGGCCUGAUUUUGAUCAAACCAUACUUCAGUGGGGUCAAGAGGACGGAAUCAGAGUUGAGAUUGGAGAAAGAUCCUGAUUUUCC